AUGGCUGAUGAUCAGGGCUGGCUGAGUGGCUGGCUCCCCACUUGGUGCCCCACUUCCAUGUCUUAGCUGAAGAAUGUGGAAGCCAGGAUCGUCCACUGUCUCCAGAACAAGUUACUGGCCUAUUAUGUAUCCCUCCCAAACCAUAACAAGAUCUGGAUGGUGACUAUAAGCCCAGGGCAAAAAAAGGACUGCACCCCUCUGUUGAUGGUACAGGGCUUUGGGGGCAGUGUGGGCCUCUGGAUCUUCAUCACGGAUUCACUGAGUACCUGCCGCACAGUCCAUACCUUUGAUCUGCUUGGUUUUGGGUGAAGCUCAAGUCCAACAUUCCCAAGGGACCCAGAAGGAGCUGAAGAUGAGUUUGUGACCUCAAUAGAAAUAUGGUGAGAGAGCAUGGGAAUCGCCACCAUGAUCCUCCUGGGGCACAGGCUGGGAGGAUUCCUGACCACUUCUUACUCUCUCAAGUACCCUGAAAGAGUUAAACAUCCUGGUGGAUCCAUGGGGUUCCCUUGUAACCAACCAACCCCAGUGAGAUCCGUGCACUUCCAACCUGGGCCAAGGCUGUGGCAUCUGUCCUGGGACGUUCUAAUCCACUGGCUGUUCUUCCAGUGGCUGGGCCUUGGGGCCUGCUGGUGUUGAGGUUCCAUCAUGACUUCAAGCACAAGUUUGCAGACUUCUUUGAGGAUGAUACCAUCUCAGAAUACAUCUACCACUGCAAUGCACAGAAUCCCAAUGGGGAAACAGCGUUCAAAGCCAUGAUGGAGUCCUUCGGCUGGGCCCUGCGUCCCAUGUUGGGGCAAAUCCACUUAAUUCAAAAGGAUGUGCCCAUCAGCAUGGUCUAUGGGGCCAACACCUGGAUAGAACCAGCACAGGGAAAAACGUGAAGAUGCAAAGACCAGACUCUACGUCCGAGACAUGGAGACUGAGGUGCAUUGCACCACAUCUACACUGACCAGCCACACAUCUUCAGUGCUGUGCUGGAAGAGAUCCAUAAAUCGGUUGACUGA